UACAGAGGUCCCAAGCGUUGUUCGGAUUCACUGGGCGUAAAGGGUGCGCAGGCGGCCAAGUGUGUGAGGCGUGAAAGCCCGGGGCUUAACCCCGGAAUUGCACCUCAAACUACUUGGCUAGAGCAUUGGAGAGGGUAGCAGAAUUCAUGGUGUAGCAGUGAAAUGCGUAGAUAUCAUGAGGAAUACCAGAGGCGAAGGCGGCUACCUGGACAAUUGCUGACGCUCAGGCACGAAAGCGUGGGGAGCAAAAGGG
rnacentral:rRNA from 1 species